rnacentral:rRNA from 1 species
UGCUAAGAGAUCAGCCUAUGUCCUAUCAGCUUGUUGGUAAGGUAAUGGCUUACCAAGGCUAUGACGGGUAUCCGGCCUGAGAGGGUGAAACGGACACACUGGAACUGAGACACGGUCCAGACUCCUACGGGAGGCAGCAGUAGGGAAUAUUGCUCAAUGGGGGAAACCCUGAAGCAGCAACGCCGCGUGGAGGAUGAAGGUUUUAGGAUUGUAAACUCCUUUUGUUAGAGAAGAUAAUGACGGUAUCUAACGAAUAAGCACCGGCUAACUCCGUGCCAGCAGCCGCGGUAAUACGGAGGGUGCAAGCGUUACUCGGAAUCACUGGGCGUAAAGAGCGCGUAGGCGGGAUAGUCAGUCAGGUGUGAAAUCCUAUGGCUUAACCAUAGAACUGCAUUUGAAACUACUAUUCUAGAGUGUGGGAGAGGUAGGUGGAAUUCUUGGUGUAGGGGUAAAAUCCGUAGAGAUCAAGAGGAAUACUCAUUGCGAAGGCGACCUGCUGGAACAUUACCUGACGCUGAUUGCCAA